rnacentral:rRNA from 1 species
UACAGAGGUCUCAAGCGUUGUUCGGAUUCAUUGGGCGUAAAGGGUGCGUAGGCGGCGCGGUAAGUCGGGUGUGAAAUCUCGGAGCUUAACUCCGAAACUGCAUUCGAUACUGCCGUGCUUGAGGACUGGAGAGGAGACUGGAAUUUACGGUGUAGCGGUGAAAUGCGUAGAUAUCGGGAGGAAUACCUAUGGCGAAAGCAGGCUACUGAACCGUCACUGACGCUGAUCUGCGAAAGCUAGGGGAGCAAACAGG